rnacentral:lncRNA from 10 species
AAGUGAAGACUUUAAAUUUAAGUUAGCCAAAUUAAUCAAUUUUUUCCAAGGGUAUUGAUUUUUUAGUCUUGCUUAAAAAGGCAAAAUGGAGGCAUACAUUAGGUAAAUAUAUUGAGAAUGGGAAUUUGAAUCAGAAAGAAAAGGCAGCGAUCAGUUGGAAAUAUCUGAAUACAUCUUGCCUAAUGGGCAUGUCCUCUCUCUGACAAAAAGCCUGAUCUUGCGAUAGAACAAAAAACCAAACACCGCAUAUUCUCACUCAUAGGUGGGAAUUGAACAAUGAGAUCACAUGGACACAGGAAGGGGUAUAUCACACUCUGGGGACUGUGGUGGGGUCGGGGGAGGGGGGAGGGAUAGCAUUGGGAGAUAUACCUAAUGCUAGAUGACACGUUAGUGGGUGCAGCGCACCAGCAUGGCACAUGUAUACAUAUGUAACUAACCUGCACAAUGUGCACAUGUACCCUAAAACUUAGAGUAUAAUAAAAAAAAAAAAAAAAAAAGCCUGAUCUGACUGCAAAUGAGGCAAAUUGUGGCCUGUAGCAGCAUGAACCUCCUUCUCCACCAAAGGAUUGCUCAGUAAUAACAGUCUAGCAGAAACUCACCUUGAAAAAAAAAUGUAGACAACAUGAAAAAAAGAAAGAAAGGAAGAAAAUCAACAGUCAUUCGGAGAAGUGCCAUCAUUGUAAGUGCAUAGGGUAAGAUUAAAAUAACAUAAAGCAAAUGAAAGAUGUAUAAAAUACAAAAGAAAGACAGCAGAGAGCAAUAAAAAGAGUACUUCCAAAUAAGUAGAAUUAAUAUUCUCAGGGGAAUGCCAGAAGUUACUGCAUC